UCCGCUCCGCUCCAGAUUGCGCGCACCCACCCAUGGCGCUCGCCGCUUCCCACCACGGCCUCCUGCCCUUCGCCCCCGCUGCCACGCCUACCCCGUCACGGGGGCACCUGCGCUUCCGCGCCGCGCGCCCUCUGCCCCGCCCCGCCCGGAGAAUUUGUUGCCAAUCUAUCAACUCAGCUAAUGUGUUGGGAGCUUCUUCAACGACAUCUGAUGAGGCAAUCCCAGUCCCAGUUGUCUAGAUAGAUCAGGACUCA